rnacentral:lncRNA from 1 species
CCCAAGAGCUCGCAUCAAUUAUCGCUUGAACAAUUUGUGGGAAAACUGUACAAAAAUGUGUAAAAGAAACGAUCGCGUUGCCUCGUGUCUCUUCGCGAAGACGCCAUUUUGUAUGGGGUCUACUAAGAACCGUUGCCCUGAACAGCAUGGCGCUAGCGAUCUACGAAAGAUGAUAGCCUGAUAAUGCAUCAUUCUUGGACUCCAUUUAUUUCGUUUCCAUGGAAAAGAUGCACUGGGGAGUGGGCGCAAAG